rnacentral:rRNA from 1 species
GACGAACGCUGGCGGCGUGCUUAACACAUGCAAGUCGAACGGAAAGGCCCUGCUUUUGUGGGGUGCUCGAGUGGCGAACGGGUGAGUAACACGUGAGUAACCUGCCCUUGACUUUGGGAUAACUUCAGGAAACUGGGGCUAAUACCGGAUAGGAGCCCCUGCUGCAUGGUGGGGGUUGGAAAGUUUCGGCGGUUGGGGAUGGACUCGCGGUUUAUCAGCUUGUUGGUGGGGUAGUGGCUUACCAAGGCUUUGACGGGUAGCCGGCCUGAGAGGGUGACCGGCCACAUUGGGACUGAGAUACGGCCCAGACUCCUACGGGAGGCAGCAGUGGGGAAUAUUGCACAAUGGGCGGAAGCCUGAUGCAGCAACGCCGCGUGCGGGAUGACGGCCUUCGGGUUGUAAACCGCUUUCGCCUGUGACGAAGCGUGAGUGACGGUAAUGGGUAAAGAAGCACCGGCUAACUACGUG